GUAGUCAUAUGCUUGUCUCAAAGAUUAAGCCAUGCAUGUCUAAGUAUAAGCAAUUAUACCGUGAAACUGCGAAUGGCUCAUUAAAUCAGUUAUCGUUUAUUUGAUAGUACCUUACUACUUGGAUAACCGUGGUGAUUCUAGAGCUAAUACAUGCUGAAAACCCCAACUUCGGAAGGGGUGUAUUUAUUAGAUAAAAAACCAAUGCCCUUCGGGGCUCCUUGGUGAUUCAUAAUAACUUCUCAGAUCGCAUGGCCUUGCGCCGGCGACGGUUCAUUCAAAUUUCUGCCCUAUCAACUUUCGAUGGUAAGGUAUUGGCUUACCAUGGUUUCAACGGGUAACGGGGAAUUAGGGUUCGAUUCCGGAGAGGGAGCCUGAGAAACGGCUACCACAUCCAAGGAAGGCAGCAGGCGCGCAAAUUACCCAAUCCCGACACGGGGAGGUAGUGACAAUAAAUACUGAUACAGGGCUCUUUUGGGUUUUGUAAUUGGAAUGAGUACAAUUUAAACCUCUUAACGAGGAACAAUUGGAGGACAAGUCUGGUGCCAGCAGCC
rnacentral:rRNA from 1 species